UCAUGGCGACUUACCAAACCAUUGCAAACUCCGAAUACCGAUGAGUACAGCUUGGGAGACAGAGCACCGGGUGCUAACGUCCGGACUCAAGGGGGAAACAACCCAGACCGCCAGCUAAGGUCCCCAAAAUUGGCUAAGUGGGAAACGAAGUGGGAAGGCUAAAACAGUCAGGAUGUUGGCUUAGAAGCAGCCAUCAUUUAAAGAAAGCGUAAUAGCUCACUGAUCGAGUCGUCCUGCGCGGAAGAUGUAACGGGGCUAAGCCAGUUACCGAAGCUGCGGAUGUGCAAUUUAUUGCAUGUGGUAGGAGAGCGUUCUGUAAGCCUGUGAAGGUGGCUUGUGAAGGCUGCUGGAGGUAUCAGAAGUGCGAAUGCUGACAUGAGUAGCGUUAAAGGGGGUGAAAAGCCCCCUCGCCGAAAGCGCAAGGUUUCCUACGCAACGUUCAUCGGCGUAGGGUGAGUCGGCCCCUAAGGCGAGGCAGAGAUGCGUAGCUGAUGGGAAACAGGUCAAUAUUCCUGUACCGAUUGCAAGUGCGAUGUGGGGACGGAGAAGGUUAGCUCAGCCAACUGUUGGAUAUGUUGGUUCAAGCGUGUAGUCGUGUCUCUUAGGCAAAUCCGGGAGAAUUAGAUGAGGCGUGAUAACGAGUCUGCUUGCAGACGAAGUGAGUGAUACCCUGCUUCCAAGAAAAGCCACUAAGCUUCAGCUUGUAAUUGACCGUACCGCAAACCGACACUGGUGCGCGAGAUGAGUAUUCUAAGGCGCUUGAGAGAACUCUGGAGAAGGAACUCGGCAAAUUGACACCGUAACUUCGGAAGAAGGUGUGCCUUUAGUAGGUGAACCAUUUACUUGGGGAGCCCAAUGAGGCCGCAGAGAAUCGGUGGCUGCAACUGUUUAUUAAAAACACAGCACUCUGCAAAGACGAAAGUCGACGUAUAGGGUGUGACUCCUGCCCGGUGCUGGAAGAUUAAAUGAUGGGGUGCAAGCUCUUGACUGAAGUCCCAGUAAACGGCGGCCGUAACGAUAACGGUCCUAAGGUAGCGAAAAUCCUUGUCGGGUAAGUUCCGACCUGCACGAAUGGAGUAAUGAUGGCCACACUGUCUCCUCCAGAGACUCAGCGAAGUUGAAAUGUUUGUGAUGAUGCAAUCUCCCCGCGGAAAGACGGAAAGACCCCAUGAACCUUUACUGUAGCUUUACAUUGGACUUUGAACAGAUCUGUGUAGGAUAGGUGGGAGGCUUUGAAGAGUGGACGCUAGUUUGCUUGGAGCCAACGUUGAAAUACCACCCUGGUGUGUUUGAGGUUCUAACCUUGGUCCCUUAUCGGGAUUGGGGACAGUGUAUGGUGGGCAGUUUGACUGGGGCGGUCUCCUCCCAAAGUGUAACGGAGGAGUUCGAAGGUACGCUAAAUACGGUCGGAAAUCGUGUUGAUAGUGCAUUGGCAUAAGCGUGCUUGACUGCGAGACUGACAAGUCGAGCAGGUACGAAAGUAGGACAAAGUGAUCCGGUGGUUCUGUAUGGAAGGGCCAUCGCUCAACGGAUAAAAGGUACUCUGGGGAUAACAGGCUGAUACCGCCCAAGAGUUCAUAUCGACGGCGGUGUUUGGCACCUCGAUGUCGGCUCAUCUCAUCCUGC
rnacentral:rRNA from 1 species